GUAGUACCAGCUGCAGUUGUGGUGGCAUUGGCUGUUGUAGUGUGGGCUGCAGUUGUGGUGACAGGGGAAGUUGUAGUGGCAACUGCUGUUGUAGUACCAGCUGCAGUUGUGGUGGCAUUGGCUGUUGUAGUGUGGGCUGCAGUUGUGGUGACAGGUGAAGUUGUAGUAGCAGCCGCAGUUGUAGUGUUAGCCUCUGUCGUAAGAGUGGCUGCAGUUGUGGUGGCAUUGGCUGUUGUAGUGUGGGCUGCAGUUGUGGUGACAGGGGAAGUUGUAGUGGCAACUGCUGUUGUGGUACCAGCUGCAGUUGUGG
ensembl:lncRNA